GGCAUAAUGGAUUUGUGUUGUGCUACUGCUGGCCCUUUAAGAACCAUCUGGGGACAUACUGUGGAGUUACUGGGUGGCCACCAUUUCAUGUAUCAGAGGCAAAUGGUGAGAACAAUGGAUGAAGCACAUGGUGAGAACAAUGGAUGGCAGCCAUUUUAACUCACAGACACUGUGUGGACUUUUCUACACGGUGCCAUCUUGCCGGUAUUUGGUGCACAGAGACAUCGUGCAGUAGUUUUAAACUAUACAACAG